rnacentral:lncRNA from 1 species
AAGGCACCCGGGGAGGGGGCGACCCGAUGUGGCGGGGAGGAGUAGGAGAGACCAGGAUUGGCGGGAGCGGUCCAAGGGAGUCAGCCGGGGAGGGCGAAAAGGAAGGGAUGGAAACCCUAUUUUCUUUUCUCCAAGACCAUGGUUGGUCUGCUUCCCUCACUCGGGCUCCUUGACAGUCUUCUAGAAGAGAGGAGGAGGAAAAGAAGCAGUUCCUGAUGUUACAAAUGAACAAGGAUCUCCCAGAAAACAGGAAGAAUGUCAUGCACCGUGUGGAUCACCUUCAGUUCAAAGUUGCAGCAAAGUGAAGAAACUACUGGAAGCCACCCAGCAAUGCACUGUUUAGUCAUCAAUUAGGAGCCCAUGGGAGGAUAAUAGGGAGACUGGGUGGAGGCUCAGUGUGUAAUAAUCUCUUGUCUAAUGUAUGUGUGUCACUGCCAUGUUGUAUGAACAAUAGUGAGGGCUCACAUUUACUUAACACUUGUGUACUCAAAUCUGGGUUUUUCUUUCUUUCCAGAACUAUGACUCAAUCAUAAAAUCUGUUUUGUUUGCAUGCAUGCCCAAAACAACCCUAUAGGUAGAACAUUAUCAUUAUCUCUGUUUUAGAGAUGAGGAAACAGGCUCAGAGAAGCUCAGAAAUUUGUUCAAGAUCGCACAGCUAGUAAAUGGCAGAAGUAGGAUUGUGAACCCAGGGAAUCUCCAGAGCCUCUGUGUAACCAUGAUAUUAUAUUUUUUUCCUCUUUAAAAACAAAAUUAAAAACCUUG